GACGAACGCUGGCGGCGUGCUUAACACAUGCAAGUCGAACGGAAAGGCCCUGCUUUUGUGGGGUGCUCGAGUGGCGAACGGGUGAGUAACACGUGAGUAACCUGCCCUUGACUUUGGGAUAACUUCAGGAAACUGGGGCUAAUACCGGAUAGGAGCUCCUGCUGCAUGGUGGGGGUUGGAAAGUUUCGGCGGUUGGGGAUGGACUCGCGGCUUAUCAGCUUGUUGGUGGGGUAGUGGCUUACCAAGGCUUUGACGGGUAGCCGGCCUGAGAGGGUGACCGGCCACAUUGGGACUGGGAUACGGCCCAGACUCCUACGGGGGGCAGCAGUGGGGAAUUUUGCACAAUGGGCGGAAGCCUGAUGCAGCAACGCCGGGUGGGGGAUGACGGCCUUCGGGUUGUAAACCGCUUUCGCCUGUGACGAAGCGUGAGUGACGGGAAUGGGUAAAGAAGCACCGGCUAACUACGU
rnacentral:rRNA from 1 species